GACGGAGGAUGCAAGUGUUAUCCGGAAUCACUGGGCGUAAAGCGUCUGUAGGUGGUUUAAUAAGUCAACUGUUAAAUCUUGAGGCUCAACUUCAAAAUCGCAGUCGAAACUAUUAGACUAGAGUAUAGUAGGGGUAAAGGGAAUUUCCAGUGGAGCGGUGAAAUGCGUAGAGAUCGGAAAGAACACCAAUGGCGAAAGCACUUUACUGGGCUAUCACUGACACUGAGAGACGAAAGCUAGGGUAGCAAAUGGG
rnacentral:rRNA from 1 species